UACGAAGGGGGCUAGCGUUGCUCGGAAUUACUGGGCGUAAAGGGCGCGUAGGCGGCCUGUUAAGUCGAACGUGAAAUCCCCGGGCUCAACCCGGGAACUGCGUCCGAUACUGGCAGGCUUGAAUCCGGGAGAGGGAUGCAGAAUUCCAGGUGUAGCGGUGAAAUGCGUAGAUAUCUGGAGGAACACCGGUGGCGAAGGCGGCAUUCUGGACUGUAACUGACACUGAGGAACGAAAGCCAGGGGAGCAAACGGG
rnacentral:rRNA from 1 species